GUGUGUGUGUGAAUAUGUGUAAUUGUGAAACUUGAGAUAUUAAACUACACAAGUUGAGAUAUUAAACCCUAAAAGUUGAGAUAUUCAACCUCAUAAGUUGAAUUAAAGAUGCAAUGAAUCCAUGUGGAUCCAAUCCGGAUCGGUCUAAACUCGAUCCACAUUAAAUCUAUUCAUGUAGGUUGAUAUUGGAUCCGGUUUCUUUUGCAUCCGAUCCACAUGGAUCCGGAUCGGAUCCGGUCCAAGUUGAGAAAUUGCCACCCCUAGUUUU
rnacentral:lncRNA from 1 species